rnacentral:rRNA from 1 species
GAUGAACGCUGGCGGCGUGCCUAAUACAUGCAAGUCGAGCGAACAGACGAGGAGCUUGCUCCUUCGACGUUAGCGGCGGACGGGUGAGUAACACGUAGGUAACCUACCUAUAAGACUGGGAUAACUUCGGGAAACCGGAGCUAAUACCGGAUAAUAUUUCGAACCGCAUGGUUCGAUAGUGAAAGAUGGCUUUGCUAUCACUUAUAGAUGGACCUGCGCCGUAUUAGCUAGUUGGUAAGGUAACGGGUUACCAAGGCAACGAUACGUAGCCGACCUGAGAGGGUGAUCGGCCACACUGGAACUGAGACACGGUCCAGACUCCUACGGGAGGCAGCAGUAGGGAAUCUUCCGCAAUGGGCGAAAGCCUGACGGAGCAACGCCGCGUGAGUGAUGAAGGUCUUCGGAUCGUAAAACUCUGUUAUUAGGGAAGAACAAACUUGUAAGUAACUGUGCACGUCUUGACGGUACCUAAUCAGAAAGCCACGGCUAACUACGUG